rnacentral:rRNA from 1 species
AGAGAAUCCUGAAAAGUACAUCGGAAGCGAUGAAAACUGGGUGAAAGCGGAAAGCGCGAUUCAAGAAGCGGUGGCGGAAAAAGGACUUCCAGCAGUGAUCGAAUAUGGUGAAGCC